rnacentral:rRNA from 1 species
GACGAACGCUGGCGGCGUGCUUAACACAUGCAAGUCGAACGGAAAGGCCCUUCGGGUUCCUCGCGUGGCGAACGGGUGAGUAACACGUGGGUGAUCUGCCCUGCACUUUGGGAUACGCCUGGGACACUGGGUCUAAUACCGAAUAGGACCACGCGCUUCAUGGUGUGUGGUGGCAAGCUUUUGCGGUGUUGGAUGGGCCCGCGGGCUAUCAGCUUGUUGGUGGGGUAAUGGCCUACCAAGUCGACGACGGGUAGCCGGCCUGUGAGGGUGACCGGCCACACUGGGACUGAGAGACGGCCCAGACUCCUACGGGAGGCAGCAGGGGGGAAUAUUGCACAAUGGGCGCAAGCCUGAUGCAGCGACGCCGCGUGAGGGAUGACGGCCUUCGGGUUGUAAACCUCUUUCAAUAGGGACGAAGCGCAAGUGACGGUACCUAUAGAAGAAGCACCGGCCAACUACGUG